AGCGAACGCUGGCGGCAGGCCUAACACAUGCAAGUCGAACGAACUCUUCGGAGUUAGUGGCGGACGGGUGAGUAACACGUGGGAACGUGCCUUUAGGUUCGGAAUAACUCAGGGAAACUUGUGCUAAUACCGAAUGUGCCCUUCGGGGGAAAGAUUUAUCGCCUUUAGAGCGGCCCGCGUCUGAUUAGCUAGUUGGUGAGGUAAAGGCUCACCAAGGCGACGAUCAGUAGCUGGUCUGAGAGGAUAAUCAGCCACAUUGGGACUGAGACACGGCCCAAACUCCUACAGGAGGCAGCAGUGGGGAAUCUUGCGCAAUGGGCGAAAGCCUGACGCGACCAUGCCGCGUGAAUGAUGAAGGUCUUAGGAUUGUAAAAUUCUUUCACCGGGGACGAUAAUGACGGUACCCGGAGAAGAAGCCCCGGCUAACUUCGUGCCAGCCGCCGCGGUAA
rnacentral:rRNA from 1 species